rnacentral:rRNA from 1 species
CACGUAAGGGGCGAGCGUUGUUCGGAAUUAUUGGGCGUAAAGGGCGCGUAGGCGGUCGCGUAAGUCUGAUGUGAAAACCCCGGGCUCAACCCGGGAACUGCAUUGGAAACUGCGCGACUUGAGUCACGGAGGGGAAAUCGGAAUUCCUGGUGUAGGGGUGAAAUCUGUAGAUAUCAGGAAGAACACCGGUGGCGAAGGCGGAUUUCCAGCCGAUGACUGACGCUGAGGCGCGAAAGUGCGGGGAG